rnacentral:rRNA from 1 species
AGCUCGUGUCGUGAGAUGUUCGGUUAAGUCCGCUUAACGAGCGCAACCCUCGCUGUGUGUUACAAGUGUCACACGGUACUGCCGGUCUUAAGCCGGAGGAAGGUGGGGAUGACGUCAAAGUCAGCAUGGCCUUUAUGUCCUGGGCUACACACACGCUACAAUGGCCAACACAAUAGGUUGCUAAGCCGCGAGGUGGAGCCAAUCCUCAAAGUUGGUCUCAGUUCAGAUUGCAGGCUGCAACCCGCCUGCAUGAAGAUGGAGUUGCUAGUAACCGCAGGUCAGCUAUACUGCGGUGAAUACGUUCCCGGGGCUU